rnacentral:rRNA from 1 species
ACUCCUACGGGAGGCAGCAGUGGGGAAUCUUGGACAAUGGGGGAAACCCUGAUCCAGCCAUGCCGCGUGAGCGAUGAAGGCCUUAGGGUUGUAAAGCUCUUUCAGGUGGGAAGAUAAUGACGGUACCACCAGAAGAAGCCCCGGCUAACUCCGUGCCAGCAGCCGCGGUAAUACGGAGGGGCGAGCGUUGUCCGGAAUCAUUGGGCGUAAAGCGCGUGUAGGCGGUUCAGUAAGUCUGCUGUGAAAGUCCAGGGCUCAACCCUGGGAUGCCGGUGGAUACUGCUGAACUAGAGUCUGGAAGGGGCGAGUGGAAUUCCUGGUGUAGCGGUGGAAUGCGCAGAUAUCAGGAGGAACACCUAUGGCGAAGGCAGCUCGCUGGGACAGUACUGACGCUGAGACGCGAAAGCGUGGGGAGCAAACAGGAUUAGAUACCCUGGUAGGCG